UUCACCGAAAUAUGCAGCAAAGAAAGGGCUUUGAAGCUGGAAAGUUUUAGCAACAUAUUUCACUUGCUUGUAAGUGAUUUUAAUGUAUUUGCUUGAUGAUUUUUACAUUUUUGGAACCCCUAAAGCAUGAGCUUUCAUAAGAGGGGACUAUUUUGCAAAAUGAUGAAGAGUCUAGGGUUUUGCCAUGAGAGUAAAUGUGUUGUUUGCUGUGUUUUUAUGGAAGAUUAUGAGUCCUAGUUGUCUAAUAAACAACUUUUGUGAAAGAAAUUGCAUGAAAACACCUUAAAAAGGGCUAGAUUGCUAAGUUGUAAAAUGAGUUGUAAAUGUGUGAAAUAGUUGAAAUUAUGAGUUGCUAUAGUUAUGAAAAUGGUUCAUCUAGACUCAAGGAGUAAAGAAAUGUGAUAAAAAUUAUUUUACGAGCCUAGGGGUAAUUUGGUAAUUUUGGCAAAAUAUAGGGGAAAAAUUGUAAAAAAAAUGCUCAAGUGUGUCAAUGGACUAAUUUGAUCAGUAAAUUGUUUUAAUAAGUUGAAUGUGAUAUUUUAGAUGAUGAAAAUCGAGAUUUGGACCUAGAACGGAAAGAAAUCGAUUAAGGGAUAAUUACGUCUUUUUUUCACCUUUGUGGUAUCGAGGUAAGUUCAUGUGUAAAUAAUGUAGCAUAAUUGUUAUUUUUAAGUUAUUGAUGUUAAAUAUAUGAUAUGCUGAUUUUUAUCAUUAAAUAUAUGCUUUGUGGUUAUUUUCGAAUAAAAUGCAAGUUAUGUGUAUUAUCUGUUAAAUAUAAAGUGCUACUGAGUAUUGGUUUCGGUAUUUUACGGAAGAUGGCAAGGAUAUGUGUUCGAGGAAAAUCCCGUUUGAACCUUAGGAAUAGAUUAGGAUACAAGUGACAUGUCACUAGGAUGGUUGAGCAUCCGAACUCGUUGAGUUGAGUCCGAGUUCACUUAUGGAUGCGAAUGUUCGAACUCGUUGAGUUGAGUCUGAGUUCGUGAGAUGUAACUAGGCAUCCGAGCUCGUUGAGUUGAGUCCGAGUUCACUUAUGGGCGGGUUACAUUGUAGCUUGGCUACAUAUGUGGCACUUAUGUGCAAACUUUCUAUGUAUCCGAAUUAUAUUCCGAUGUGUUCAACAGGUAAAAUUCUACUCAAAUGGAGGAAUACUCGAGAUGAAAGGGACGUAUUGGUAAAUGUUGUGAAAUGGAUACUUUGAACAGGUAUGUACUUAACCCUCGGGUUGAAAACUCGACAUAACAACAAUAUGGUAAGAUGGUAAAUGAAAAUGUGAUAUGAAUGUCUCGGUGAUGAUUAUACAAACGAUGUUGUAUUAAUUUUGUGAACAAUGAUCAUGAAUGAGUAAUUUAGCCUUAACAGAUUUGAGUUACUGCAGUAGUGUAACUUUGAAAAUACACUAAAAAUAGUGGAAAAUGAGUUAGAGGCAGAAUAAAAUAUGGGAUUAAAGCUUAAUGAGUCUAUUUUCACAUGAAAGAAACAGGUGAAGAAAAAGAAUUCCAUAUUGUGUGAUAUUUGAAUUCUUGUGAAAUAGGGUCUUGAAUGAAUUCGAGAUCCCCUGUUCUGACUUUAGAAAUUCACCAAAAAUUGUAAAAAAAUUAUUAAGAGUCAUACCUUACAUGCAUAGAUUCCUUAUUGAGUCUAUUUUUAGGGGAAAUAAAUUCCAUGGUCGUUGGAAUUUUGUACAGGGAGAAAUUUGGUUUGUAGUGCACAGGGGUCAGAGUGGUCAUACCCUGAAACAGGGGAGACUUUAACUAAUAAACUGUACUAAUUGGCCCAACCAAAAAUUCUAGAAAAAAAAUUAGUAAGUAGACAUAUGAGUCUAGUUUCAAGAGAAAUAGACGAGAACAUUAUUCGAGUCUUGUACUAUGAGAUAAUUGAACUUUAGUACAGAAGGGUCGGAACUGUCAGACAGUGAAUCAGGGGUAACUUUGAGGAAUAAACUGUACUAUUUGGCUUAACCCAAAAUUCUGAAAAUUUUAAGGAAGAAAGGAAAAUUAGUCUAGUUUCAGGGAAAAUUAACGGAACUUAAUUUGGAGUUUCGUAGCUCCAGAUAUAAAUAAUUUAGUGACUGUUGCUCAGGAAGACAGCUUGCAGUGAACUUGAGAAUAUGUUGUAAACAUUGAUAAAACAAGUUAAUGAGUUGCUUAUUGUUUUCAUAUGAACUUACUAAGCGAAAGCUUACCCCCCUUCUUUUCCAUGUUUUCUAGAGUUUCCAGGUUAGCUCGGGUUGGAGGCCGUCAGAGAUAUUAUCAUACUGUCGAGUUAACGCUAUCGGCGUAAGUAAACUCAAGUGAUUCUAGUCUAUGGCAUGUAUAGGGUUUUAAUGUGAGUAUGUAAUAUUAUGAUUUAGCCAAAGACAUUGGCUUUUUAUUAAGGUAGUAUUAGUCAUGUAAAUUGGCCUAUGUCGGCUAAUAUCGUUAUGGGCCCAUAUGAUUAUUCUUAUGCAUGUAUAUUAUUAUCUCUUGUGAUGUGGCUUACAACAUGUAUGCCUAGAGAUUGAAUUGAGAUUCAUUGAUGAGCUAAUAACUAAUGCAGGAUUAAGUGAUUGGUAAAUAGUUAAUAAUGCUUCAUGAAUGGUUUGUGGAUAUGAUUAUGCAUGCUUUGUGAUGGACAUGAGGUUUGAUGACAUGUUGAUAGCUAUAGCAUUAAUAUGAUAAAGAUGAAAGAAAAACUUAUUGUAAUGGUUGCAUGUGAAAUUACCAUGGUCAUGUCAUGUUAGGAAGGUUUAAGUGCCUAAUUUUGCCAUUUGUAUGCUAUUGUAUAAGUAUGCGUGAAUGUGUUGUGAGUGUGACAAAAUGGCUUGGAAAAUAGCCUUAUAUUUGUCCAGGUUUUGGACAUGGGUUGGGCAUGUCCUUAGCACCCGGGCGUGUGUUCUAUACCUACACGGGCGUGUGGAGCCUUGAUACAAUAAAUUUCUUAAGUUUUUCAUGAGUUCUCGGUUGGGUCUCGAACCACCCCGAAUGCAUGUAUUGUGUAACACCCCUUACCCGUAUCCAACACCGGAAUAGGGUAAGAGGCAUUACCAAAACACAUACACUUGUAAACGUAUUUAACCGAGUUAUAAAAUUUCAUCAAAAU
rnacentral:lncRNA from 1 species